UACAUGAGUAGGUGCAGAUUCGUGUGUGC
rnacentral:piRNA from 1 species